UCCCUUCGUUGCCUCCGCUCUUCUCUUCUCUGGAACCCUCCCUUGUAUCCUGUCCAACUCUGGCCCCCUACUGCAUUGCGCUUACUUCAAUCGCCUGAUGGGUGGCGAGAUCGGGUAAUAUGGCUUUCUCUCUGUGAUGUGAUCUUGGCGCCUCUUGGUUUUGAGGCCUUCUGAUUUGCUUUUCUCUUCGAUCUUCCUCUUCUUUAAUCUCUGCACGUCAUGUCAAAAAUGGUGGCCUUUGGGCGAUGAUGAACUGGCAAAGACAUACCAUCAAACUCUGAAGAAAGAGGUGUCGAUAAUCUUGUAUUAGCCUCUGAGCCAGCCACUCCAUGUUCUUGUUGACUUUCGUUUUCUGUUCGUCUGAGAAUCACAAAGAACGAUUUUUUUUAUGAUGGUUUUUGCUUGAUUUGUUUGGAUUGGAGAGUGAAAAGAAGGCAAUAAAUUAGAGUCUCUGAUGCGCUUCUUCCUAUAGCGUCGUCAGCGCUGUACGUUGCCAAGAACGAGGGCGGGUUGAGAUUCUGGCAUUUGCCAUUCGUAUCGUAUGGCUUAUGCAUUCAGAUGCUCCACAUCUUAUGCCAUCUCAAAGUCUGUUUUUUUUUUUUUUUCUAAUUUAUCUGACAAAAUCAUUCUUUCCUGCUAACCUGUGCUUGAUUUAAGAUUGAAGUAGUUUUAUUUCACAAAGACAAAAGAUAGUCCACUUUCUUUGCAGGUCUUGUGAAAAUUCUGGUGAAGCAAUUAGUAGCGGACAUCAAGUGCAAGAAUUUACAAGCACAAACAUGUUCAAGCAAGGUUCAGUGUUUGGAUGUAUAGGAACUUGAAAAAUGUAAAGGCUUGAAUAAAGGAGUAUACUUUCUGGCAGAACUCCAGCAGCAAAGAACAAGAAUAUGCAGGUGAAAGAGAUUCCACAACAGCUAAAGCAAUAAAGCAACAUCACAAUGAUGAAAGAGGAUGAGCAGAGAAUGGCUCUAAGAACAUCUUUGGUCAGUAGCUUUGAUGAAGGAUAAAGGAACACAACAAUAUCUCAACAGCAUCUCAAGUACGUCGCAUUGUACUACAUUUAAGGCUGUAGAGGUGUUUCCCAAAAGGCAUCAACCAGCAACACUGUCUUGUAUGAGGGCAACACUUGAAAGGAGUCAAAAGGACCUUAACCUGUAUGCUUCAUAUUUCAUCAAACUGCAAAUCUAGCAUGCAAAAAAACCUCAAAAUUAUAUCAAAAA